GAAAAGAAGCGCGCGAUCGCUCCGAUCCAUGUGAUCGGGGAGGAAAGUCCGGACUCCAUAGGGCGGGAUGUCCAGGUGUAGUACUUGGAACUCUUCCGGAAACCGGAAGGGAUGGAUAGCGCCACAGAAAAUAUACCGCCCGCUUAGAGCGGGUAAGUGUGAAAAGGUGGUGUAAGAGACCACCGUGUCGGAAAGUAAUUUACGACAGCAAGGCAAGCCCCAUCCGGAGC
rnacentral:RNase_P_RNA from 1 species